rnacentral:misc_RNA from 1 species
GAUGAAGAACGUAGCGAAAUGCGAUACGUAAUGUGAAUUGCAAAUUCAGUGAAUCAUCGAGUCUUUGAACGCACAUUGCGCCCCCUGGUAUUCCGGGGGGCAUGCCUGUCCGAGCGUCAUUGCUGCCCUCAAGCACGGCUUGUGUGUUGGGCCCCGUCCUCCGAUCCCGGGGGACGGGCCCGAAAGGCAGCGGCGGCACCGCGUCCGGUCCUCGAGCGUAUGGGGCUUUGUCACCCGCUCUGUAGGCCCGGCCGGCGCUUGCCGAUCAACCCAAAUUUUUAUCCAGGUUGACCUCGGAUCAGGUAGGGACACCCGCUGAACUUAAGCAUAUCAAUAAGCGGAGA